CCUGGCCCGAAAGCUAGCACGCUCAGGGUUUUCGCGUGCGGCGGCGCGUCCCUUCCAUCGCUCCCUGUCCGCGCCGCCGCCUGACGGAGGCGGCAAGGGAAGGGAGUCAGGGACCCAGGAGGGCGCGCUCGCCGGAUCUCCCUCGCUCCCCUGCCGACGACGGUCCGCUUCUACGCGUGCCUUCCAUCUAUCCCUCUCCACGCCGUUGCCGGCUCGCGGCGGCAGGGAAGGGAUCUAGGACUUGGGAUCGAGGGCACCAUCGCCGGAUCUCGCUCGCUUGCUCCCCUGCCGAUCCCCCUCGCCCUCCCUUCACCGCCGACGACGCCCUUGGUCUCCGUGUCCCUGUUCUGCACCGGCAAACUCCAAACUCCACGGGCUCCGCCUCCGCGAGAUGCAGAAUCGCAUGGCCUCAUCUGCAGCGCACACGCUCGUCGUGUUAAUUUUUGCAACAAUUUGCAAGAAUUUUCCUGCUCGGAACACAUGAACAAUGCUGCCGGAAUUUUGCACGAAACAUUAUAUUUUAUCCUGAUGUAACUGUAAAUUUUUUUGACGUGCUUCCAAAGUUCAAAUGAGCGCAAUGUUUUACGUUAUUGGUAAGAACCUUCCAAACAUGGAAUUACGGAUGUACACAAAUUGACGUUUGCGCAUCAUUCAUGUUGGCACGACA